rnacentral:lncRNA from 1 species
UUUUAAACCCAUAGACAGUAGUACCCCUAGUCAAUAAUUCUGGGAUAGCCAUGUGGCAGCUGGCUGAUACAGCUCAUGCAUUAAAAAGUUGGGACUGACUUCCCAUCUUGAACUGAAAGGAGCCAAAUUUACCAAUCUGAAAAUGGGGAGGAAGAUACUCUUGGAUGUUUAUCUCAGGUUUUUUUUUUUUUUUUAGAAGGCUGUAGCUGUCGCAGCAGUAUGAACUAAGAAAAACCACAUUGUCACCAAUGGUAUUGCAUUGACAUGUAGGUAUUGGGAAGCCACCGAAUGAUUUCUUAGGAGAAGGAAACACAGUUUCAGGAGAUUUUUUUUCAUGUACUGCAACAGUGAUAGCUUAGAAUAUGGUAUUUUCUACCAUUUGCACAAUGCCUUAAAUUUUUCAGAAGGUACUUUCAAAACAACUCCUUGUAACUAAAGUAAUUAAGUGUGAUUAUUUGGUUAAAACAUCCAUAAUUCAUCUAUUUACCCAUCUUUGUAAUUAUGCUUUUCAGCUUUGAUGUGAGCAAGGACGAAGUGCAGUUUUGACAGGCAGGAGCAUCACGGCAGAGCCCAGCAAUAGAUGCAUCUUCUCAAGAUCAGUUCAACUCAGCUCUGAACUGGUGCCUGACAAUCCCAAAUCAAAGGGCAUCCAGUGGAAGAUCAUGGUUAUGGAAGUUUGGGGAGAAGGAAACCACCAUUCAUCCAUGCAAUGAGAUAUCUUGUUACAAGUAUCUUACUCUAACUGGUAAGUGACACCAAAAUAGAUGUUUUUUUUUAAAAUCCAUUUGUUACCUCUUGCAAGCUUUAAGCC